AGCCUCGCGGCCUCUCCGGCUGCCCCGGAUGGCCCUUUCAGACGUGCACCUGCCCUGUCCCAGGACUCCCGGAAACGCCAGCGUGCCCGUAGCGCUCCUCCCAGCCUUAGAAAGCCCCGGCGGUGUGUCUGGCACAGAACCUUCCCACGCAUACGCGAGAGACUCCAACCCCCUUCUUGUUUUCCCGAAAGACAUGGCAUUGGUUUCCAUGAUCCAUGGUCCAUUGUGAAGAGGAGAAGGAUUGGGGAAAGGAGCAAAUGACCUCCCUAUGUCAGCACAGACCUCCUUGAAAACAACAUGCUCCCUCUGUCCUCACCCAUUUCAGGCAGAAGUGGAAAGGAGAAGGACCUCUUCUACACCCUCCUUCACUGAAGUACCUGGAGCCUGCCAAGAAAGAAAAGAAAAAAACCCUCCAAAUUCAAAUUCAUAUACAAACUAAGGGGAGAAAGGAAGAGGCCAGAACAGUGGGCUCACCAUCUCAAAUUCAUAUGCAUAUCA